GCACAGGGGCCUAGCGGUUUGAGCGCCAUGCUCCAGACCUGGGGGUCACAGGUUUGAUUCCUGGAGGAGCA